UACGUAGGGUGCGAGCGUUACUCGGAAUUACUGGGCGUAAAGCGUGCGCAGGCGGUUUUGUAAGCCCGAUGUGAAAUCCCCGGGCUUAACCUGGGAAUGGCAUUUGGGACUGCAAGGCUCGAGUGCGGCAGAGGAGACUGGAAUUCCUGGUGUAGCAGUGAAAUGCGUAGAUAUCAGGAGGAACACCGAUGGCGAAGGCAGGUCUCUGGGCUGACACUGACGCUCAUGCACGAAAGCGUGGGGAGCAAACAGG
rnacentral:rRNA from 1 species